rnacentral:rRNA from 1 species
CCUACGGGUGGCUGCAGUGGGGAAUAUUGGACAAUGGGCGAAAGCCUGAUUCAGCCAUGCCGCGUGUGUGAAGAAGGCCUUCGGGUUGUAAAGCACUUUCAGUGGGGAAGAAAGCCUUGGGGCUAAUACCCUCGAGGAAGGACAUCACCCACAGAAGAAGCACCGGCUAACUCCGUGCCAGCAGCCGCGGUAAUACGGAGGGUGCGAGCGUUAAUCGGAAUUACUGGGCGUAAAGCGCGCGUAGGCGGUCUGAUAAGCCGGUUGUGAAAGCCCCGGGCUCAACCUGGGAACGGCAUCCGGAACUGUCAGGCUAGAGUGCAGGAGAGGAAGGUAGAAUUCCCGGUGUAGCGGUGAAAUGCGUAGAGAUCGGGAGGAAUACCAGUGGCGAAGGCGGCCUUCUGGACUGACACUGACGCUGAGGUGCGAAAGCAUGGGUAGCAAACAGGAUUAGAUACCCCUGUAGUC